UACGUAGGGUGCGAGCGUUAAUCGGAAUUACUGGGCGUAAAGCGUGCGCAGGCGGUUUUGUAAGCCAGAUGUGAAAUCCCCGGGCUUAACCUGGGAAUGGCAUUUGGGACUGCAAGGCUGGAGUGCGGCAGAGGAGACUGGAAUUCCUGGUGUAGCAGUGAAAUGCGCAGAUAUCAGGAGGAACACCGGUGGCGAAGGCGGAUCUCUGGGCCAUUACUGACGCUGAGGAGCGAAAGCGUGGGGAGCGAACAGG
rnacentral:rRNA from 1 species